CCUCCACUCCCUGGUGUCUACUCCGAGUCCUCCUGCUUAUAAAGGAAAAUCUACGGCAAGCCCUCGCGUGGGUCCCAAACAGAACUUGUUUGCAAAACGGUCCACACAGCGUCAGCCUGGCCCCAUGGAGACACCGGGCCCUUCAGAAUCUGUGAGUUCUGCUUCUGACUCCUGGUGCCACAGCGAUGCCUCCCAGAGUCAAGAGUGUGUCUGUCUUCAACUCCCAGUAGGUUCUUCACAUCCUAAAGCAACCGGGUCAACAACCCCAUGACCAGCACCAGCUGUGGCGUGUGUGGACAAGGUCAUCAGUUCUGUGAAGGAGAAGAUCUUCGAACGGAGGGCGUCCACCUGUCUGGAAAGUGAUGGUGAGUACUUCAUCACCGAUCUGAGAUGUGUCCUCACAGGGGAGAUGCCAACUCCUAGGGUUCUGCUCGUGCCGGGGGAGGGGCGCUGGCAACCUUGGGGGGGGGCAGAUUAGUAUCUCUCACACUUCCAGCAGCCACCAUUCGUGGACUUCCAACUCAGUAUGAGGCAUUUUAAGUGCUUGUGACUCCUAAAGUCACCGCCAUCCUGCUGGAUUGAUGGGACUGCCCGUACCUUUCCAUGUGAGCACGCUGAAUUUGUCCAAAGCCAUGACGUCUAAGCUCGCGGAGGCAGCGGGAUUUGAGCUCAGGCUGUAUGCUUCGGGAGCCGCGUUCCGGGGGAGAGUCAUUGGAGAGCCCCGAGAGCCCGCACUGACCAGGAGACAGGAAGAGCUGGUUCUGACUCUGGCACCCCCAGCCCAGCUCCAUGAUCUCUGAGAAGUUACUGGGCCAGUCUGCCUGGCUUUCUUCUUAUCCUGUCUACAUCACAGGGUUUUUACAGGCAUGAAGUGUGUGGGAAAGUGCUGGAAAACGGACAGGGCUGCUCACAUGUGAGCCUCACAGCCCUGUGGAGUGAUCAGAGCAAUGACGGACCAUCCCCAUUCUAUACUGGACGGAGCUGUGGCUCAGAGAGGUCCCAGAACCUACCUGACACUCAUCAGCAUAGAUCCCGUCUCCUUGAGUCUGGCACAUUCUCCACUCUCCCUCCUGCUCUUGCUAUGUACUGGGGUCUUGGCUCCCUAAUUUUGGGUGUCCUCACCUUCUCUGGCAUUGUUACUUUUCCCUUCCCUCUACCCCGCCCUCCCAUAGCCUGGGUCCCAUCCCUCAAGCCUGGCUCUCAGCGGUCUGGUCACUAGUCCCUACCGAGGGCUACACUGGCCCGGCAUGAGGCGACUUCUUUCCUGGAGAAAUUUCAUUUGUCAAAGGGUAUGGAAAUUUCCAGAGUGUUCAAGGCCUGAGAUAGUUAUUCUCAAUCCUGGUUGCAUGUCAGACUCUCCUGGGAGAUCUUAAAAAUAUUCUGAGGCCCAGGGCCCACACCCAGACAUUCCGAUUUCAUCGCUCUAGGGACCAGGAACAAGCAUGUCUGAAGAACUCCCUGGACAUCGGGAAUAUGCAGUCAGGGUAUGGGUGGAAGUAGCUGAUCUUACUUUGAAAGUGUUCGUGUCUUAGCCCAGGAGAUUGCUUUCGAAUGUAUUUUAGCUUCAACUUCAUUUUUACCAGUGUCUUUAAUAUUUAAGUAAAGAAAGCAAGGUUCUUUCUCUCAUCCUU